AUAGCUGGUUCUAGGACCAUAUUUGCAAAUCACUGCACCAAUUUCUGUGUUGUAGUUGGUUUUUGAGUCUCCAGCUUCACCUCUCAACUCCUGCCACUUUAUGGAACACCCUCAGUGCCCAGGGGUCUCUUGUCCUUGGUCCUGGUUCUCCCUGGGCUGCCUUGAGACUUUGCAGUGUGCCAAUAAGAGGAUGUAUAUGAGACCCUUACUCAUGUAUUUUUCUCUUGUGAAGCUGAUCACACUGGACUUUUAAGUCCUUUCUUCCUGACAUUCAGUCUUUGACUCUGAAUUAGCUGAGGCAUGAGAAGUUCACCACAGGAAGGUCCUGCCCUUUGUUUGCUCCUAAAGGUUCCUUUAAAGUUCAACUUGACCAACACACCAUUGCAAGCACUCCAGAGGAGAAGACAGCCUUGCUGUGUCAAAUCCACUUUAGUUUGUAAAUUUCUUGUCAGUCACUUUUAUGCCCCCACUGAAUAGGACAGUGUGAAGCAUGGAUUAAGUAUGCAAUAAAUGGUUGUUGAAUAAAUCAGAAAAUUAAAUGCAUUCUGCACAGAA